rnacentral:other from 2 species
GACGCCCUGGGUUGUUUGCCAGUCGAUAUGUCCUCGACCCUUUAUGCGACCGUUAGGGGGUCUUUUUUCGAUACCUGUGCGCACAUCCGUCCUGCGGGGAGCCUUCGGGUCGAUAGAGACCACCGCCUUGAACCGCAGGGUUCAAGGGCCUUUCAGACAGCGGCAAUUUGGGGCGUCG